CUGAGAAAUUACAGAUUUUCAGUGUUGUUUCUGUUUAUGUCGUAGCCGGGUGUGGCAUGAGGUGAUCUCAAGCCUAAUUUAUUCUACCUGAAUCUAGUGAACUUCUUUUUUACUUAAGGUUGUGUUAUAGUUUUCAUCUGAGGUUAUUUGAUUCAGAAAUAAAAAAGUUCUAUCAUCAGAUUGCAGCCGCCAAGGUAAAUCUUUACCUUCACUCAAGUGACUAAGGGAAGCUAGAAAAGAAAUGAUGAGAGAAGCCAGACAACCGAUUGAAGAAAGCAAAUGAAAACAAAAGAUAGAGACAAGCUGCAUUUAUUCCCCAGGGUUAAGUUUAGCCUUCUACAUACUUAUCAGAGAACACUUCAAGUCCAUCUGAUUCCUUUUUUCCGUGCGAAAGUAUAUCUGAUUUUUUCAUACCUAUCAAUGGGGAUAAUGAGGUUGCUGACAUGCCCACAUCUUCAGAGGUACCUGUUCAAGUGGUUGUCAGCUAAUGUAAGAGGGAUAGACAGUAACGUUUUUGUAUUUAGGAUGGGUAUGAGUAAUGUUAAAUUGAAAUUUCAGAACUUCUUUUGCAAAUAAACACCAGCAAAAUUCAGGUUUUGGCGAGAAGAAAAGUGAAACUAAAGGUUACAGUGCAAUUUAAUAGGAUACUAUGCUGCUUCCAGCCCAUGGAUUAGAACGCAUUAAUCUCUAUAGUCCAGGAGAGAUUGCUGAACAGAUGAAGUUGAUGGGAUAUCUCUGGUCGCCUGCAAAUUAAGCUAAUUGAAGAUCAAGCUCGGCAGUACUCAGUUUUCAAGUUUGGUGGUACUCAGAUUUCAAGUUCGGCAACGCUUAGUUUUGUAAUAGUGAUUGUUGAAUGUUUCCUGCCGCUGAUUACUUGGUGCUAAGUGCCGUUCAAUUA